AAGCGCCUAUCCUAAUCAGGUGAGAUGGGAGCUACAUAUGUGUUCUGGGGCUGAGAAUGUGGGGAUUCCAAUGUUGAAGAGACCUGAGGUGGUGCGGGGCUAGCGGGCGCACCCUUUGGGUGUGCAGGACGACGUUCAGUGGGCCUGGCUUGGACGGCGGAGCUGUACCGAGGACAGGACCUGAAGGGGUGCUGGUCUGCGGAGACCCCCUUUGGGGGUGCAGGACGACGCGCAGUGAGACGUGCGAUAGACAGCGGAGCUGUACCCAGGAUAAAGUGGCAGGCUGUCGGACAGCGAGGAAGUGAGCUGGACAAUACGGGUGCCACUGUCCCCCUUCCCUGCCUGACCGGGUAAAGACUGUAGUCCCUCUAAAAAGAACACUGUUUUUAAAGCUUUUUUUAACUGUCUAAAAUAAAAUGUACUUUUGCUGCUACUAGUAAAA